rnacentral:rRNA from 1 species
UCCUACGGGACGCAGCAGUGAGGAAUAUUGGUCAAUGGCCGAGAGGCUGAACCAGCCAAGUCGCGUGAGGGAAGACGGCCCUACGGGUUGUAAACCUCUUUUGUCGGGGAGCAAAGCGAGUCACGUGUGACUCAUUGAGAGUACCCGAAGAAAAAGCAUCGGCUAACUCCGUGCCAGCAGCCGCGGUAAUACGGAGGAUGCGAGCGUUAUCCGGAUUUAUUGGGUUUAAAGGGUGCGCAGGCGGAGGUGCAAGUCAGCGGUCAAAUUGCGGGGCUCAACCUCGUACUGCCGUUGAAACGGCAUCC